UGAAUGCAUUUCAAUUGCGUGUUUAAGAUUCCUGUCGAGUGUGCAAACCUCAGAGGAUCACUGACAUCACAGGAAGGAAAUUCAAUAAUCUGAACUGAAUCUUUGAACUGAAAGGAAUACUCAAAGGACAAUAUAUGAAUCUCAAAUAUCAUCCAUGAAAUACAACAGAAUUGGAUGAUGAAA